ensembl:lncRNA SND1-DT SND1 divergent transcript
GCGCCCUCCCGCCUGACCUCGCCCAUGACGUCCUUCCCCGCUGGCCUCAGGGGCGCACACUUGUAUACCCACCUAGGUGGGCGCCGCUGUACCCGGGAAUGCGGCCUGGGAGGGUGGAGCCACGCAGGCAGAGUCCUGGAGGAAUCUCCGUACCCGCUCCACUCGACUUCCGACAUUUUACCUUGGCUAAAAGAAGGAAAGGGACUUUGAAAUCCUUAAAGAAGACUUUUUUUGUGUGCAAUGGAGAACAAACACAGAAUGUAGUCUGAAGAUGCACAAGAUUCACUGAAACAAACAAAGCAUCCUAUUUCUUGAACUUCCUUGAAAAUAAAUUUAGGAAAUAUGUUCCUCUCAGUAA